AAAAGCUUCAUCAGCAGCAUCGUCUUAUUGGUGGAUCAUCGGCGUCGUUGCUGCCGUGCUGCUCGUGGCUCUGGCAGGAUUGUUGGCCUACAGGAAACUGAGAGGAAAACCUUCAAAGUCCACGAACGACCCUGAAGAGGAGUCUGAGCUGAACCGGGUCUAAGUUUCAGAUGCAGCAGCUCCCUGACGAGCCGCGGAGCUGGAUGAAGACUAAAGGAUGGACAAGCUGGGACGUCAAGGACAAUCAAGAAGAUGACAGUUGGACUCCACCUGGUCCACCUCCGCACUAACAGAACAAAGACAGCUGAUGCUGGGGAGGAGUUGUUUGACUUGAAGGAUCACAGCAUGAACUUUAAAAUGAUUUGUUUGAUUCGUUGGAAUGUUCUUCAUGGCCACACUCAGGUGUGAUCUGAAGUUCAGGAGGAGUUGUUUUUCAUGAGGGUUUCUCUGAGAGAGCAGCUAUGGAUCGUUUUUAGUUUACCCUUCACCCAGCUGAUCUGACUUCAUGUUGCAAAACAACCCUGAUGAGGACGAAUAACUCAGCAGAAGCAGGAAACACAAGAUCUACAGAGAAGAGCUUUUACUCACGAGACUUCAUGACGAGUCACAUGAGACGUGACAGAACAAAUGAGUCCGAGUCUAUUCAAAGUAUAAAGUAUAUUUACUUUAUCAUAAAGUCACACAGUGUCUGCUGAUCAUCGAGCUAACUUCUAGGGAUAGUCUGUCUAAUCUUUAUCAGUCGUCUGGAGCUUUUCAGCUGUGACAUCACUCAUAACGUCUGGAGAACAGGGCAGAGGAGUUUGUCCAAUGGAGGAUAAAGCUAGCCAAACAAGGAUGUGGUUUCAUCAUUUUCAGGCUUAUUAAACAAUUCUUUAUUGUUUCUAAUGUGUGCUGAGCAUCAGUAGACCAACACCAAAAAAAUCCAGGGCCAGUAAUAGAUACAGAGCAGGUACAAUAUCUAAUUAUAAGGAUCUACAACCAGUUGGAUCUUAUUUGAAAAACAGUUAUUUCAGCCUUAAAAAUACAGUUAGCUGUUUGGUUUUUAUAAAUGUUUCAGAUAUAAUAUAUAUAAUGAUAACUUUGCAUAGCACUAAUACUGAAGCUAAUAGCAUUUGAUGCAGAGCUUACACACACACACACACACACACACACAUAUAUAUAUAUAUACAAACC